rnacentral:tRNA from 1 species
GUCGCCAUCGUCUAGCAUGGCCCAGGACACUAGGUUUUCAUCCUAGAAACACGGGUUCAAAUCCCGUUGGCGAUA